rnacentral:lncRNA from 1 species
UGGACGCCGCCAGACACUUCAAGUGCGCCUUCUGCAAGGCCACUUCUGAAGUGCCCAUGGAGUACACGCAGUACGUGAACACCAUGCAGCAGUACGGGCGCGUGCCGGCAGAGAUGGCGCUCGGCACGUACGAGAUCGUCGCCACCAAGGAGUACUGUCGGAACAACACGCUGCCCAACCCGCCAGCCAUCGUGUUCG